rnacentral:rRNA from 1 species
CUCGUCACACUAUCAUUAACUGAAUCCAUAGGUUAAUGAGGCGAACCGGGGGAACUGAAACAUCUAAGUACCCCGAGGAAAAGAAAUCAACCGAGAUUCCCCCAGUAGCGGCGAGCGAACGGGGAGGAGCCCAGAGCCUGAAUCAGCAUGUGUGUUAGUGGAAGCGUCUGGAAAGGCGCGCGAUACAGGGUGACAGCCCCGUACACAAAAGCGCAUGUGCUGUGAGCUCGAUGAGUAGGGCGGGACACGUGGUAUCCUGUCUGAAUAUGGGGGGACCAUCCUCCAAGGCUAAAUACUCCUGACUGACCGAUAGUGAACCAGUACCGUGAGGGAAAGGCGAAAAGAACCCCGGCGAGGGGAGUGAAAAAGAACCUGAAACCGUGUACGUACAAGCAGUGGGAGCACAGGUUUACCUGUG